AACCUUUGCCAUGCGCGAAAGCGUGACAGGGGAACUCCGAGUGGUAGAAGGUUUUACUUUCUAUCUUUUUGUCAAUCCAAACCAUUGGCAGAAUAAGGUCUGGGUAAGGCCAGUGCCAGCCGCCAUGUUGGGAGUGUUCACACCCCCGACACGGUAUGCGGUAAUACUGGCAGAACAAGUGGUACCCACGAAUAUUGGGUCUAAAGAGUCCGUAGCGGGCCAAUUAAGUCCACUGUGAAAUCUGGCGGCUUAACCGUCAGGCGGGCAGUGGAUACUGAUCGGCUUGGGAGCGGGGGAGGCCGGGAGUACUGGCGGGGUAGCGGUAAAAUGCUGUAAUCCUGCCAGGACUACCAGUGGCGAAGGCGCCCGGCCAAAACGCGUCCGACCGUGAGGGACGAAGGCUAGGAGAACGAAUCGGAUUAGAUACCCGAGUAGCCCUAGCAGUAAAUUAUGCGGACUGUGGUGUUGCAACGACUUCGAGUCGUUGCAGUGCUGUAGCGUAGGUGUUAAGUCCGCCACCUGGGGAGUACGGCCGCAAGGUUGAAACUUAAAGGAAUUGGCGGGGGAGCACCACAAGGCGUGGAUGCUGCGGUUCAAUUGGAUACAACGCCAGGAAUCUUACCAGGGGCGACGGCAGGAUGAAGGUCAGACUAAAGAUCUUGCCUAACGAGCCGAGAGGUGCUGCAUGGCCAUCGUCAGCUCGUGGUGCGAACUGUCAGGUUAAGUCCCGUAACGAGCGAGACCCCCGCGCACUGUUGCGAACUUCCCCUCCGGGGGAGGUGCACCCUGUGCGGACUGCCCGUGUUAAAUGGGAGGAAGGAGGGGGCGACGGUAGGUCAGUAUGGCCUGAAUCUCCUGGGCCACACGUGGCAUACAAUGCGUAUGACAAUGGGCGGCAACCCCGAGAGGGGAAGCUAAUCCCCCAAACAUACGCUAAGUUCGGAUUGAGGGCUGAAACUCGCCCUCAUGAAGCUGGAAUGCCUAGUAAUCGCUUGUCAACAUCGAGCGGGUGAAUAAGUCCCCG
rnacentral:rRNA from 1 species